CCUUAGAAGAGCAGAAAGACGGUAAGCCGCUCUUUCCCAGAUGUUUGUAAGAUUAAAAGAUCCCUCAUUAACAAAUUGAAUUGCCCUAAACUACAGCAAAUUUAUUUCUACACACAUCUACACAUGCAUGCUGUGUCGUCGAUAUUAAGUAAUUAAAACACCAUUUUCAAUUGAUCUUAAAACAGGCAGUUGUUGAUUUUAUAAAGCACAUUUAUUCAAAUUAAACAAUGAAAACUUUCAUUCAUUUAUCUUUAAAGAUGCAUUUUACAUGACAGUAUGCGAAAACAACAACAUAUAAACAUAACAUAUUUAAAAUAAUCAAAACCUUUCCGCGUCUGCUUUAUUAAUCUCCAUUCUAAAAUAAAACAUUACAAAAAAUUACCAGGAAAUAAUCGUGAAAGGCUGUUCUUUCUUCAUAGCGUUAAUUAGGAUCUAGAAGAUAAAAUUACCCGAAAGUGUUGUCAUUGUUAAAUAAAUUACGGAUGUGCGUCUUUGCGUCAAGGUCAUGAUUCUACAUAACAACAUCCGCUUGACCUCGCAAUGCCAAGAAGAAGAAAGGCGUGGAACAUUUGCUUAAGCCUGUUAAGAUCUUCAGCAGAUGUUUGAGAAAAAAGUCAUCAUCCUCUUCGUCACACUUCAUCCGUAUUUGGGGUAACAAGCACCUGCUUCCCACAAGAGACUGGACCGCUGAAGUCAGACCUGCACCUUCCUUGAACAUGUCGGUAUCUUACUCUGUAUUUGUUCACGGUGGUCA